rnacentral:lncRNA from 1 species
AUUGGAACAAUUGGUACUCACUCUCACCAGACUAUUCCCUUAAAGUGGGAGGUCAAGGGUUCGAGCAGUGGGGGAGGCGACCUAAUUUCCUAAGGGAAAUUUGGGCCAAAUCCACUUGGGGAAGGAUGCGUUUGACGAGAACCCAAGGGGACAAAUCCUGCCAGGAACCCGUGAGGGUGAAUGGAUGUUAAAAGCUGUUCA